rnacentral:rRNA from 1 species
UCUGUCCUUAGUACGAGAGGACCGGGAUGGACGAACCUCUGGUGUUCCGGUUGUCAUGCCAAUGGCAUUGCCGGGUAGCCAAGUUCGGACGGGAUAACCGCUGAAAGCAUCUAAGCGGGAAACCCACCUCAAGAUGAGAUCUCCCGGGAGCUAGACUCCCCUGAAGGGCCGUGGUAGACCACCACGUUGAUAGGCUCCAUGUGUAAGCGCCGUAAGGCGUUGAGCUAAGGAGUACUAAUUGCCCGUGCGGCUUGACCAUAUAACACCCAAGACGUUG